AAUGAACGCUGGCGGCAGGCCUAACACAUGCAAGUCGAACGGGUCCUUCGGGACUAGUGGCGGACGGGUGAGUAACGCGUGGGAACAUACCCAAAGGUACGGAAUAGUCUCGGGAAACUGGGGGUAAUACCGUAUGUGCCCUUCGGGGGAAAGAUUUAUCGCCUUUGGAUUGGCCCGCGUUGGAUUAGGUAGUUGGUGGGGUAAUGGCCUACCAAGCCGACGAUCCAUAGCUGGUUUGAGAGGAUGAUCAGCCACACUGGGACUGAGACACGGCCCAGACUCCUACGGGAGGCAGCAGUGGGGAAUCUUAGACAAUGGGGGAAACCCUGAUCUAGCCAUGCCGCGUGAUCGAUGAAGGCCUUAGGGUUGUAAAGAUCUUUCAGAUGGGAAGAUAAUGACGGUACCAUCAGAAGAAGCCCCGGCUAACUCCGUGCCAGCAGCCGCGGUAAUGUCUGUACU
rnacentral:rRNA from 1 species